CGUAUAAAAUGGGCAAAGGUAUCACUUGACAUGAAGAAAGCAAAUCAGGUAGUAGUAAAAAGAAGAAAUCUCAGAAAUCCAGUCCAAAGAAGGCUGUUGAUACUAAAGCUGGAACGGAGGGAAUUAUAAGAGCAAAGAAUACAUCUCAAGUGGUUCUAGCUCAGACUCAGAUGCCCCACUGAAGAAAAAAAUAAAGAAAGAAAAAUCAAAACCUAAGGAAGGAAAGAAAAAAGGAAAGGAAAAGGGAAAGAAGGAACAAAAGAAAAAAGAAAGUGAAGAAGAAAAGUCUAGUAGUGCAGGAGAGCUGCCAUCUGAUGAGGAGAUCUUAGCAACACCAAAAUCAUCACACAAAGGAUCAGGAUCAGAAUCUGGAUCAUAUUGAACAAAAUGAAAUGAAAAUCAACACUUAGU